GAUGAACGCUGGCGGCGUGCCUAACACAUUCAAGUCGAACGAAUUUAGAGGUGCUUGCACCUUUAAGUUAGUGGCGGACGGGUGAGUAACGCGUGAGUAACCUGCCUACGUGAGUGGAAUAACACAGGGAAACUUGUGCUAAUACCGCAUAACAUGUAUUUACCGCAUGAUAGAUACAUCAAAGAGAAAUCACACGUAGAUGGACUCGCGUCUGAUUAGAUAGUUGGUGAGGUAACGGCUCACCAAGUCGACGAUCAGUAGCCGAACUGAGAGGUUGAACGGCCACAUUGGAACUGAGAAACGGUCCAG
rnacentral:rRNA from 1 species